GGAAUUGACGGGACCCGCACAAGCGGUGGAUGAUGUGGUUUAAUUCGAUGCAACGCGAAAACCUUACCCACCUUUGACAUGUACGGAAUCCUUUAGAGAUAGAGGAGUGCUCGAAAGAGAGCCGUAACACAGGUGCUGCAUGGCUGUCGUCAGCUCGUGUCGUGAGAUGUUGGGUUAAGUCCCGCAACGAGCGCAACCCUUGUCAUUAGUUGCUACAUUCAGUUGGGCACUCUAAUGAGACUGCCGGUGACAAACCGGAGGAAGGUGGGGAUGACGUCAAGUCCUCAUGGCCCUUAUAGGUGGGGCUACACACGUCAUACAAUGGAUGGUACAAAGGGUCGCCAACCCGCGAGGGGGAGCCAAUCCCAUAAAGCCAUUCGUAGUCCGGAUCGCAGUCUGCAACUCGACUGCGUGAAGUCGGAAUCGCUAGUAAUCGUGGAUCAGAAUGUCACGGUGAAUACGUUCCCGGGUCUU
rnacentral:rRNA from 1 species